UCCCCUAGUAACUGCGAGUGAAGCGGGAAAAGCUCAAAUUUAAAAUCUGGCGGUCUUUGGCCGUCCGAGUUGUAGUCUGGAGAAGCGUCUUCCGCGCUGGACCGUGUAUAAGUCUCUUGGAACAGAGCGUCAUAGAGGGUGAGAAUCCCGUCUUUGACACGGACUACCAGUGCUUUGUGAUGCGCUCUCAAAGAGUCGAGUUGUUUGGGAAUGCAGCUCAAAAUGGGUGGUGAAUUCCAUCUAAAGCUAAAUAUUGGCGAGAGACCGAUAGCGAACAAGUACCGUGAGGGAAAGAUGAAAAGCACUUUGGAAAGAGAGUUAAACAGUACGUGAAAUUGCUGAAAGGGAAACGCUUGAAGUCAGUCGCGUUGUCCGGGACUCAGCCUUGCUUCGGCUUGGUGCACUUUCCGGAUGACGGGCCAGCAUCGAUUUUGACCGCUGGAAAAGGGCUGGAGGAAUGUGGCACCUUCGGGUGUGUUAUAGCCUCCAGUCGCAUACGGCGGUUGGGAUCGAGGAACGCAGCACGCCUCGUGGCGGGGGGUUUACCCUACCUUCGUGCUUAGGAUGCUGGCAUAAUGGCUUUAAACGACCCGUCUUGAAACACGGACCAAGGAGUCUAACAUGCCUGCGAGUGUUUGGGUGGAAAACCCGAGCGCGUAAUGAAAGUGAAAGUUGAGACCUCUGUCGUGGAGGGCAUCGACGCCCGGACCUGACGUUCUCUGACGGAUCCGCGGUAGAGCAUGUAUGUUGGGACCCGAAAGAUGGUGAACUAUGCCUGAAUAGGGUGAAGCCAGAGGAAACUCUGGUGGAGGCUCGUAGCGAUUCUGACGUGCAAAUCGAUCGUCAAAUUUGGGUAUAGGGGCGAAAGA
rnacentral:rRNA from 1 species